GACGAACGCUGGCGGCGUGCUUAACACAUGCAAGUCGAACGGAAAGGCCCUGCUUUUGUGGGGUGCUCGAGUGGCGAACGGGUGAGUAACACGUGAGUAACCUGCCCUUGACUUUGGGAUAACUUCAGGAAACUGGGGCUAAUACCGGAUAGGAGCUCCUGCUGCAUGGUGGGGGUUGGAAAGUUUCGGCGGUUGGGGAUGGAGUCGCGGCUUAUCAGCUUGUUGGUGGGGUAGUGGCUUACCAAGGCUUUGACGGGUAGCCGGCCUGAGAGGGUGACCGGGCACAUUGGCACAGGGGAGCCGCCCGGGCCCCACCGGGGGGAAGGGGCGGAAAAUUGUGCAAGAGGGGCGGAGUCCGGGAGGAGGAACCCCGGGUGGGGAAGCACGGCCUUUGGGUUGGAAACCCUUUUCCCGUAUACCUAAGCGGUUGGAAGGGAAAUAGGUAAAAAACCACGGCUAACUUCCUG
rnacentral:rRNA from 1 species